rnacentral:rRNA from 1 species
AUUGAACGCUGGCGGCAUGCUUUACACAUGCAAGUCGAACGGCAGCGCGGGCUUCGGCCUGGCGGCGAGUGGCGAACGGGUGAGUAAUACAUCGGAACGUGCCCAGUAGUGGGGGAUAGCUCGGCGAAAGCCGGAUUAAUACCGCAUACGACCUGAGGGUGAAAGCGGGGGAUCUUCGGACCUCGCGCUAUUGGAGCGGCCGAUGGCAGAUUAGCUAGUUGGUGGGGUAAAGGCCUACCAAGGCGACGAUCUGUAGCUGGUCUGAGAGGACGACCAGCCACACUGGGACUGAGACACGGCCCAGACUCCUACGGGAGGCAGCAGUGGGGAAUUUUGGUCAAUGGGCGAAAGCCUGAUCCAGCAAUGCCGCGUGUGUGAUGAAGGCCUUCGGGUUGUAAAGCACUUUUGGCGGGAACGAAAAGGACUGUGCCAAUACCACGGUUCGAUGACGGUACCCGCAGAAUAAGCACCGGCUAACUACGUG